UUGACCUCGGAUCAGGUAGGGAUACCCGCUGAACUUAAGCAUAUCAAUAAGCGGAGGAAAAGAAACCAACAGGGAUUGCCUCAGUAACGGCGAGUGAACAGGGAA
rnacentral:rRNA from 1 species